AAGAUCCAGAGGAUUCAGGAUUUCACUCCAUGAAGCUGCUUGACAGACAGAGGUUUUCACAAGCUGUUCUCUCCACCCAUGUGUGUUUCUGCCCCAAACUGUGCUGAUUUUUACAGGCACCAAGUAAGCUCAUCUUCCCACUCCCCUUUAUAAUAAGCCCCAAGCUUGCCCACUGUGUACAGAGGGAUCCUCCUCCCAUUAUCACUGAUGCUGGUUGAGCUUCUUUAUUCAGGUUGAGCUCAUCUAUGUUCAGCAGCUUCUUUCUGCUCUUCUGGAUGCAGAUAGCCCCAGAGAGAACACAAGGCAUUAAUUCAGCAGAGCAGUUGACAUCCUGGACCAUGUGACAAAGUCCUGUACAACCAAGGGCAUGAGACAGCCCAUGUGAGGAGCAGUUGCUUGGAGAAGUGCAUGGUAUCAGCACUGGAUAUGAUUCAAAGGACCUAUUAGCACAUCAAGGUUUUUGCUUCAGCAUUUGAACCCUCUGCAGAGAUUAAUAACCUUUGGAUGCUUGAGCAGCAGGUCAAAUAACUACUGUGUUUUCCCUCUG